AUGAACGCUGGCGGCGUGCCUAAUACAUGCAAGUCGAGCGAACAGACGAGGAGCUUGCUCCUCUGACGUUAGCGGCGGACGGGUGAGUAACACGUGGAUAACCUACCUAUAAGACUGGGAUAACUUCGGGAAACCGGAGCUAAUACCGGAUAAUAUAUUGAACCGCAUGGUUCAAUAGUGAAAGACGGUUUUGCUGUCACUUAUAGAUGGAUCCGCGCCGCAUUAGCUAGUUGGUAAGGUAACGGCUUACCAAGGCGACGAUGCGUAGCCGACCUGAGAGGGUGAUCGGCCACACUGGAACUGAGACACGGUCCAGACUCCUACGGGAGGCAGCAGUAGGGAAUCUUCCGCAAUGGGCGAAAGCCUGACGGAGCAACGCCGCGUGAGUGAUGAAGGUCUUCGGAUCGUAAAACUCUGUUAUUAGGGAAGAACAAAUGUGUAAGUAACUAUGCACGUCUUGACGGUACCUAAUCAGAAACCCACGGCUAACUACGUG
rnacentral:rRNA from 1 species